UUUGGAAAGGAACACAAUCUUGUGUCAAAAGAAAAUUAAAGUAAUUUGUGAAGCGCACGAUUUUUAAAUGAUCUUUUGUUUUAUUAAUCAACGAAAUUUAUUUUGUAAAAUAGAUCUAUUAAAGGAAAAGGUAUUGAACAUUAUUCCAGCUAUAUCCGGCUCACGAAUCCUUCCUCAUCAUUACAAGCAACCGUUCUUCUAACUAAAAAUACCCGUUGUAAACAAAUAUACAAAUCUUAUGGACGUGGGGAAUAUAGAUGUAUAUAUUUGACUACAGUUAUAUUCUUGAAUUACUUCAUUUGAUAGUUGUUGAGUUUAAAUCAUUGAAGGAUAAUUCUUCUUUUGAAGGUUUGCUUAAAUAAUUUGGAAGAAAUAAGUAUUUAAGAAUUCCGUUUUAUAAGAAUUUUUUCACAACUUUAGAUUGUUAUCGAUGUGCCUUACUAUCUUAGUUUUUGAAUGAAAAAUUAAUGACGGCUCGAAUAUAAAGGGGACGGUCUUCGCUCUUUAUUCAGCAAAGAACGUAUGGAAUAGAAAGAAUUUGUACUAAAUGUGUCACCAUAAGUGCGAAGCUUUAGGGUUUUUACAUUAUAAGACAAGUUAGAUUUUUGUUUUAAAGGUGGCAUUUAGAAUAUAGACAGAUGAAGUUAAAGGGCGCAGCUCGUUUUCCUUGGCACUUUUUUACACUCAUCUCAGUACUUGUAUUAUCUUCUCAAAGCAGCUUGGUAGUACAAUUUUCUUGGAUAUUAUCCCUAUCUGAUAAAAUAAAGUUUCGCUAAUAAUUAAGCGAAGACUUACAACUUUGACGAAGCAGCACACAGAACUAAACCAGUAGAUCAUAGUGACUAUAAAAGC